rnacentral:rRNA from 1 species
AGAGUUUGAUCCUGGCUCAGAAUCAACGCUGGCGGCGUGCCUAACACAUGCAAGUCGAACGCGAAAGUGGAGCAAUCCAUGAGUAGAGUGGCAAACGGGUGAGUAACACGUGGGUGACCUGCCUUCGAGCGGGGGAUAACGUCCCGAGAGGGACGCUAAUACCGCAUAACAUCCUGCUUUUGAAGAAGCGGCGAUCAAAGCUGGCGCAAGCUAGCACUCGAAGAGGGGCCCGCGUCCGAUUAGCUAGUUGGUGAGGUAACGGCUCACCAAGGCAACGAUCGGUAGCCGGCCUGAGAGGGCGGACGGCCACACUGGGACUGAGACACGGCCCAGACUCCUACGGGAGGCAGCAGUGGGGAAUUGUUCGCAAUGGGCGCAAGCCUGACGACGCAACGCCGCGUGGAGGAUGAAGAUCUUCGGGUCGUAAACUCCUUUCGAUCGAGACGAACGGCCUCCGGGUGAACAAUCCGGAGGAGUGACGGUACCGAGAGAAGAAGCCCCGGCUAACUCCGUGCCAGCAGCCGCGGUAAUACGGGGGGGGCAAGCGUUGUUCGGAAUUACUGGGCGUAAAGGGCUCGUAGGCGGCCAACUAAGUCAGACGUG